AGUGAACGCUGGCGGUAGGCCUAACACAUGCCAGUCGAACGGCAGCACAGUAAGAGCUUGCUCUUACGGGUGGCGAGUGGCGGACGGGUGAGGAAUACAUCGGAAUCUACUUUUUCGUGGGGGAUAACGUAGGGAAACUUACGCUAAUACCGCAUACGACCUACGGGUGAAAGCAGGGGAUCUUCUGACCUUGCGCGAUUGAAUGAGCCGAUGUCGGAUUAGCUAGUUGGCGGGGUAAAGGCCCACCAAGGUGACGAUCCGUAGCUGGUCUGAGAGGAUGAUCAGCCACACUGGAACUGAGACACGGUCCAGACUCCUACGGGAGGCAGCAGUGGGAAAUAUUGGACAAUGGGCGCAAGCCUGAUCCAGCCAUACCGCGUGGGUGAAGAAGGCCUUCGGGUUGUAAAGCCCUUUUGUUGGGAAAGAAAAGCAGCAGGUUAAUACCCCGCUGUUCUGACGGUACCCAAAGAAUAAGCACCGGCUAACUUCGUG
rnacentral:rRNA from 1 species